CCAGCAGCCGCGGUAAUUCCAGCUCCAAUAGCGUAUAUUAAAGCUGUUGCGGUUAAAAAGCUCGUAGUUGGAUUUCUGUCAAGGACGACUGGUCCGCCCUCCGGGUGAGCACAUAGUUUGGUCUUGGCAUCUUGCUGGAAGCUGUGCUGUGCUUGGCUGUACGGUACAGGGUCCAGCACUUUCACUUUGAGGAAAUUGGAGUGUUUCAAGCAGGCACAUGCCUUUGGACACAGUAGCAUGGAAUAAUUUGAUUGGGCUUCUGCUCCAAUUUGUCGGUUUCUGGAGCUGAGGUUAGAAUUAAUGGGGAUUGUUGGGGGCAUCCGAAUUUAGCCGUCAGAGGUGAA
rnacentral:rRNA from 1 species